UGGGUAUGCGCCACUGUGGUAAUGGACUCUGGAACAGAUGGGAUCUGCGGGAUCCUGGUCCAGCUUGGGGUAGGGUGGGGAGGGGAGGUUCUCUGAGGAAGGAAGGCCUUCUCUGAGGAUUUUAGUGUUGCAGCUCUUGUAGGUGAUACUCAAUGAAACAGCUCUCUUAGAGAAUCUUCAGUAAAAUAGCUGCUGUGCAUACACUGUAUACAAGGGCUACAUAUGAACCUUGGAGAGUGGAGAUUUCUGGGUGAAUAUAAAAGGCGAUGGCUGAAGCUUAAGUCCUGUGAAUGCCUCAUUUGUCUGGAGAUGCGUUCCGAGAAUCUCAGGUUCAUCCUUGUCGUAGCAUCCUUCCUUAAUGGAUGAGUGACCUUCUGCUGUGUGGAUCACCUCAUUGUGCCUGUCCAUUCAUCUGCUGAUAGACACUGGGUUAUUCUCACCUUUGACUUGAAUCUUGCUGCUGUGAACACUGAUGUACAAGCAGAUAUCCCAGUCCCUGCUUUCAGCUUGAGUAAACUCCUCCAGAUUUGAAUUUGCCCUUUGAAUCCUUGGUGGCAUAUGGUGGAAUUGUGGCUAGCAGGUAGGAGCCUAGCAUAACUGUCUCCUGAGAGGCUCCGUCCAGUGGAUGGAAACAGAUGUAGAGACCCACAGCUGAAUCGCAGGCAGAGCUCGGGGAGUCUUGUGGAAGAGUGGGAGGAAGGACAGCACAAGAAGACCUGCAGAGUCAACUAACCUGGGCCCAUGGGGGCUUACAGAGACUGAGCCAAACAAAGAGCAUGCAUGGACUGGACAUAGGUCCCCUACACAUAUGCAGGAGAUAUGCAGCUUGGUCUUCAUGUGGGUCUUUUGUAACAACUGGAGUGGGGCCAGUCUCUGACUCUGUUGUCUGCCUUUCCAUCCCUUUCCCCUAGCUAGGCUGCCUUUCCUGGCCUCAGUGGGAGAGGAUGUGUUUAGUCCUGAUUCGACCUGAAGUGCAAAGAGGGGUUGGUAACCAAGGGGACGGGCCUUCCUUUCUCUGGGGAGGAGGGGAAGAGGCAAUGGGGAAAGGGGCAUGGGAGGAUAGGGGGGAGGGAAGCUUCAAUCAGGAUGUAAAGUGAAUAAAUAAAUUAAAAGAGAGUAAUUGUAGUUUGAAUAUUGAUAUCCAAUGCUUUUGGGUGUUUUAUUUUUAUGUAUUUUCAUAAGAGUAGCAUUGCUAGCCCAUCUCUUUUCCCCACCCCCCCAAAGGUUUACUGUUUCAUGUUAAAUGUUACAGAGUUCUGGAACUGUCAGAACCAUGCCUGAGAACCCAAAGAAAGAAAUGGUGUAACGGACAGUCCCAUCCACCUAGACUCGAUUCGUAUGCAUUUUGAUAAUUUCACAAUCUUAAAAAAAUUAUGACAAGACUUGGAAUUUACAUCUGUUGCAGGUCUUCAGUGUUCCAGUACAGUGUGCCAGUAAACAAACCUCAUCAUGCCUCUCUUCACGUCUUAAACCAUAACCCCAAACAGAAUGUGUGUAUGUGUCUAGCUGGAGUAAAGCAUACUUUAAGGGGAGUUUGUGGCUCAAGGUGUGAGAUUACUUGUUAAGGUUUCUGGUGCCCAAAUGAAGUCUUCAGUUCAAUUAAGAAUCUCAAGCUGCC
rnacentral:lncRNA from 1 species